GAUUAGUUCAUUGCACGCACACAUAUGGUUAGCGUAGCGGAGAUCCGCUAUGGCAAUAGGGGCAUGUGCAAUGCAACGUGCUUAUGUAGGUGUCGUCAAGAAGAUGGAGUAUUGCAACAUCAGUGAGCACUAAUGUAAAUUGCAUCUACUGUAGUGCAAGCUCCCCUUCGUAGCUGCUUGGAUGAUCUAUUACACUAAUUACCACAAGUUAAAUGCACAAGUAUCGUUGCCAAAUCAAGCACUAAUCCUUCAAUAUAAGCAAAAGUUGUAUCCUGCGUGGCAAUAAAAAAUUCUGAUUGGAACAAAAUAAAGCCCGAGCCCACCCCGUUAAAAUCAGGGAAUGAUUAGAUUAGGAAGGAAAAAGAAAAAAGAAAACAGCCGUAGGAUGAAGUGGGAGCACGGAUGGGAGCAAGGGGAGGAAGCAGGCAAGCCGGAUCCCCCUCCAACGUGCCGCCGCACCAGGUUUUUUUUAGCAUCAGUACAGACACAAACGCUCAUAUACAUGCGCAUACACUCACCUCUAUGAACGCACACACGCACACCCUACCCCUAUGAGCACCUCCGAAAGACUGAGCCGGCAUAUCAUCUUGAGAUUUACGAAGUCACCGUAGGCACCUCGUCGUCGACGGGAACGUCUCCUCCCACUGAAAGCGCAUCCCCGAAAAUCCUGAAAUAAUUCCAAGAAUAAUGCGAGCACCAGGAUUUGAACCCUGGUGGGUUAGGGAUACCACUGUCCAUCUAACCAUCUGAACCACAGGUUGGUUCGCCGCCGCACCAGGUUUCACUAGUCUUUACCUCUUUAUCUUUAUCUUUACCUACUAAUAAAGCAGAUAUUGCUUCUGCCCGUACGUCGUCAGCAAUCUUGCAAAAAAGCCCCUCUACUUCUGAGAAUUCAACCCGCAGUCCCUGUCUAAGUGGACCUGGGAAAACGCUUCAUUUUUGCACAAAACACCCUAUUGUUUGGAUUAUUCAACCCGUGGUCCGAGCAGAUUUUUGUAAAGAGAAAAAAAGACCAUAGGAGGAGCACGGGCUCGCCUCCUCUCCCUCUCGCCCAAGUCCUCGUCGCUGCCGCCGCCGCCACCACCCACGCUGUGGCAAUCUCCGGCGAGCUCCGGCGCCGCACAACACGCCGCAAAAAAGACCCUGCAUUUGUAGUAAUUCAACCCACGAUCCCGUCUUCCUCUUCCUCGACACCUCCGCCGCCUGAUAAAAAACAGAGGUGGCGAUCUCCGCCGGCCAGCCUCCAGAUCCCCAGCGACUGCGAGUGGUUCACGCGUGCCCACUCCCGGCGGCCCUUCUCUUCGCCGCCGUAUGUGCCUCCCCUGGCCGGGACCUCCUCCGCCUCUUUGCCACCACUACCGUGAAUAAAAAAAAUAGCAGCACUAGCUGCCCAGCUUACAGAGGAGAAUGGUUGCAGCUAAUUUGCCAUUUAGGCUAAUCUUAAAGAAAAAAAGAGAGCCCAAGUGAAGAUUCAGAAAAAAUAGUCCACGCGUCCACCGACGAGAUCUGGGCCCGCAGCCCCGCAGCAAGGCGUAGUCGGAGGAGGGUGGGCUGGACACGACCACGCCGAUCCGGAGCCCGGAGCCCCGACGCAGAUCCACGCGGCCCCGUCGAGCAGCCGCCAAGGUCGACCUUGAGCAGGCCACCGUUGUUGCGUCGACCCUGAGUAGACCACCGCUGUCGCGCCCUCCGCCAUAGGCCCAGCCAACACCGUGUGCGCGGCCGGGCCACACCACUGCCGCGCCUCCAAGGUCGAGGCCACUGCUGCCGCACCCUCCGCCACAAGCCCAGCCAGCACCGUGCGCGCGGCCCGACCACCACGAGCCCAUACACGAUAUGCAGCCGCGCCGCAACCGGGCGACGAACGCGAAGCAGCCGCCACGGGCGUGCGUGAGCUUGGUGUGGCUGGAGAACGGAUAGAAGAGGAAGGAGAGCAGCCGCUGAUAGAGAGAAGAGAAGGAGAGCAGCGCUGACGAUGUGGGUUCGUGGGCUCGCUGGAUGGAUGAAUAGAGGGAAGAAGAAGAAGAGCAGCUCUGUGCUAGAGGAAUGGAGAUGUGGAAGAAGAGCAACGCAAUUGAGAGCUUCUCGGUGGGGAUUUUUUUGUGUAGAAUGCUUUUUUAGUGGCUGCACCGACCAGAAAGCUAAACUCAGCCGGAUCCGGCGGCGGCUGGACUUGUAGGGGCUGCGGCGUCCUGCGUUGGGUCGAGGGCAACCGGAUCCGGCGGCGGCUGCGGCUGGACUUGGGAAAAGAAUGAACGGAGAAGGAGAGGCAACGAGGUGUUGCAGGCGGCGACAUGGCCGGCGCAGCCGACGGAGAUCGGGAAC
rnacentral:rRNA from 1 species